UCUUACUAGCGACGGAUAGAUCCCAGUUACCCUCCUCUUGUCUUCACCUUCCGCACACACGAUACGGAGAGUAUUUCUUACCGUUUUACGGUCCCUUUAACCCUUUGACUGGUGACGUAUCGAACUAACGGAAUUUUAUUGAAUAUAUAAAAUAUAAGGAAGAUAGAGUAAUCGUUAUGAUGAAUCGACACAAGACAAUGGCAAAAAUAAUACACCAAUAAAUAACACAGAAAUACAGCCGGAUUACUUCAAAUGUAAACCAGGAACAAUACUGGAGAAUCAAACAGCAAAAAUGUACUGGAACAAAUCACUAUAAGCAAACAGAACAAUAGCAUACGACAGAUCAGAGAUAUAACAUAAAUGGACACAGACAAAAAUCACAUACCCUAUAGGAAUAUCAAUCUUCAAUGAUGUAAACGUAAAAAUAAAAGGAGAAGAAAAAAUCAAUAAAUACACCUCACUAGCCAUGGAAAGGAAAGAAAUAUGGAAACAAGAAUAUAUCAAAAUAAAACCAAUAAUCGUAGAAAACAUAAAGAAAUAAGAAUCAACCGAACCAUACAGAGCACAAUCCAAAAAGCAGCAGUAAUAGAAACAUGUGCAAUAGUUACGAAAUUCCUGAAUCCCCCGAUAUGGAUGCAUUCGUACUUGGUGUACACCUGUACAGGUGUAGUAGAACCGGGUAAAAAUCGAGAAAACGAAAAGGAAAAAAUAAUAAUAAUAAAAUAUUAAUACUGUGUUAUAAUAUUAAAUAAAUAGUAAACCAGACCUAACCUAAAUGGCCGA